rnacentral:rRNA from 1 species
AUUGAACGCUGGCGGCAGGCCUAACACAUGCAAGUCGAACGAGUGGCGGACGGGUGAGUAGGGUCUGGGAAACUGGCUGACGGAGGGGGCUGACGACUGGAAACGGUGGAUAAUACCGCAAACGGUCAGUUGUGCCGAGGUGGGAGUAGCUAGUUGGUGGGGUAACGGCUCACCAAGACGACGAUCCCUAGCUGGCCUGAGAGGAUGACCAGCCACACUGGAACUGAGACACGGUCCAGACUCCUACGGGAGGCAGCAGUUGGGAAUCUUGCACAAUGGGCGCAAGCCUGAUGCAGCAAUGCCGCGUGUGUGAAGAAGGCCUUCGGAUUGUAAAGUACUUUCAGCGGGGAGGCGUUACCCGCAGAAGAAGCACCGGCUAACUCCGUGCCAGCCGCCGCGGUAAUAC